AUACGGAGGAUGCAAGCGUUAUCCGGAUUUAUUGGGUUUAAAGGGUGCGUAGGCUGUUCGGAAAGUCAGGGGUGAAAGCCAGGCGCCUAACGCCGGAACUGCCUUUGAUACUUCCGAGCUGGAAUACGGAUGCCGUGGGAGGAAUGAGUAGUGUAGCGGUGAAAUGCAUAGAUAUUACUCAGAACACCGAUUGCGAAGGCAUCUCACGAAUCCGUCAUUGACGCUGAGGCACGAAAGCGUGGGGAUCAAACAGGAUUAGAUAGCCUGGUAGUCCACGCAGUAAACGAUGAUGACUAACCGUCGGCGAUACACAGUCGGUGGCCAAGCGAAAGCGAUAAGUCAUCCACCUGGGGAGUACGUUCGCAAGAAUGAAACUCAAAUGAAUUGACGGGG
rnacentral:rRNA from 1 species